AGUUUGAUCAUGGCUCAGAUUGAACGCUGGCGGCAUGCCUUACACAUGCAAGUCGAACGGCAGCGGGCCUUCGGGUGCCGGCGAGUGGCGAACGGGUGAGUAAUGCAUCGGAACGUGCCAUUGAGUGGGGGAUAACGUAGCGAAAGUUACGCUAAUACCGCAUAUUCUGUGAGCAGGAAAGCAGGGGACCGCAAGGCCUUGCGCUCUUUGAGCGGCCGAUGUCGGAUUAGCUAGUUGGUGAGGUAAAGGCUUACCAAGGCGACGAUCUGUAGCGGGUCUGAGAGGAUGAUCCGCCACACUGGAACUGAGACACGGUCCAGACUCCUACGGGAGGCAGCAGUGGGGAAUUUUGGACAAUGGGCGCAAGCCUGAUCCAGCCAUGCCGCGUGAGUGAAGAAGGCCUUCGGGUUGUAAAGCUCUUUCGGCCGGGAAGAAAUCGCAUGGGUUAAUACCCUGUGUGGAUGACGGUACCGGAAUAAGAAGCACCGGCUAACUACGUG
rnacentral:rRNA from 1 species